CUCUUUUCUCUCUUUUGGCUAGCCAUCCCUGUUCUUCCUUUUGUUUUCUUUCUUUUCUCUUCACUUAAACACAUAGACUCAUUUCCCACACUCUCCCACCGGUGCCACUCCACACCAUCUCCACCAUCAUUUUUCCAGCAAGAUCACCGGAAAAUCAUUAAGAACCUCUAAGCAUCUUCAUAUCUUUUAUUUGAGGUUCUAGCUAAUCUCCUUUGGAGCUUGGAGAAUUAGACUUUUUGUGGGUUGCAAGGGGGAAAAGGUUCCUUGAUUGUGUGUGGGUGAGGUUGCUGCCCAUGGGGCCAAGGGAUUGCAUACCAGGGAGGACAAUAUCAUGCCAGUUGUGAAUGGGUGGAUCCCCUGACCGGUCUAUGUGGUUGUGUGGUAUAUUUGUUAUAAAUUAUCUUAUGUUAGAUUUUUUGGCUUUGGAAUUAUAUUGUUAGUGCUCACAAAUUAUAGUAUAUAGUUUCAUGAUAUUUAUUUUGAGAAACUUUGUGUUUCAUUACUUAAUCAUUCUUGUCGUAUUAUUAUUGAAAAUGAUCUUACAAUAUUCAGUUAGAAAUUUCCCAAAUUGAAAUGUUCUUUGCAAAUUGUUCAUCAUCAUGAAACUUGCAUUUCCCUCACCCUCAUUAAUUAUGCUACUUAUUGGGCUUUAGCUCAUCCUACCAUCUAAUAGUUUUUCAAAUCAAUUAGCUAUAUCUUAGGUAUGGAGCUUCCUUCUUUGGUGAUGAUUAGAGUGCUAUGUUAAAUUUGGAGACUGUGCUGUAAAUGGUUAGUGACUCGAUCUUGCUAUGUUCAACGAGGCCAUGAUUAAUUCUAUAGGAGGUUGGGCAAUUGAUGUUUGUUAGCCUUAGGCGUGGUAGGCCUAGACUCAAUGUUAAGGUUCCUUACCCUUGAUAAGAUUGUGACUUUGUGUAGUCCAGUUGUAGAUUUGUUAUAUAUUCCUGUAUUAUAUGGAGACACAUGAUUUUUAGUUAUUGUUCGCAAAUGUGUUAUAGAGCUCUGACUUGUAAUGUGGAGAUUUUAGUAUGGUUAUAUAAUCUUAUCCUAUGGAAAAGAAAGGAAAAGAAAGAUCUCCUAUAGUUUGAAUUCUUGAUAAGGAAAAAUCUAUAGAUACAUUUGGGAUGUAUUUCUCAUGCUUUGAAUCCUUUUGGGUUUGGGGCGUGACACUCUCUCUAAAAUUUUUUAUUAUUUCUUGCAACUCUACAUUAGGUUGAUGAAACAUUGUAUUUUUUUUUUAUAACUCUAUUUUAGGUUAAUACGUUAUGGUGUUGUAUUUUUGAGUUCUCCAAUACAAGUACUCUC